GAGUCGAACGCUGAAGCUCCAGCUUGCUGGGGUGGAUGAGUGGCGAACGGGUGAGUAAUACGUGAGUAACCUGCCCUUGACUCUGGGAUAAUCCUGGGAAACCGGGUCUAAUACUGGAUACGACGUCCUACCGCAUGGUGAGGCGUGGAAAGGGUUUUACUGGUUUUGGAUGGGCUCACGGCCUAUCAGCUUGUUGGUGGGGUAAUGGCCUACCAAGGCGACGACGGGUAGCCGGCCUGAAAGGGUGACCGGCCACACUGGGACUGAGACACGGCCCAGACUCCUACGGGAGGCAGCAGUGGGGAAUAUUGCACAAUGGGCGGAAGCCUGAUGCAGCGACGCCUCGUGAGGGAUGACGGCCUUCGGGUUGUAAACCUCUUUCAGCAGGGAACAAGCCACAAGUGACGGUACCUGCGGAAGAAGCGCCGGCUAACUACGUGCCACAGCCGCGGUAAUACGUAGGGCGCAAGCGUUGUCCGGAAUUAUUGGGCGUAAAGAGCUCGUAGGCGGUUUGUCGCGUCUGCUGUGAAAGCCCGGGGCUCAACCCCGGGUCUGCAGUGGGUACGGGCAGACUAAAGUGCAGUAGGGGAGACUGGAAUUCCUGGUGUAGCGGUGAAAUGCGCACAUAUCAGGAGGAACACCGAUGGCGAAGGCGGUCUCUGGGCUGUUCUGACGCUGAGAGCGAAGCUGGGGAGCAAAGGAUAGAUACCUGGUGUCAUGCCGUAACGUUGGGCCUAGUGUGGGGACUUCCCGUUCUCCCGCCUAUCUACGCUUAGUGCCCGCCUGGGAAUACGCCGCAAGCUAAACUCAAGGAAUGACGGGGCCGC
rnacentral:rRNA from 1 species